rnacentral:rRNA from 1 species
CCUACGGGGGGCUGCAGUCGAGAAUCUUCGGCAAUGGGCGCAAGCCUGACCGAGCGACGCUGCGUGUGGGAUGAAGGCCCUUGGGUUGUAAACCACUGUCAGAGGGGAUGAAAGCGUAAGCUUGACAGAGCCUCAGAGGAAGCGCGGGCUAAGUUCGUGCCAGCAGCCGCGGUAAUACGAACUGCGCGAACGUUAUUCGGAAUCACUGGGCUUACAGGGUGCGUAGGCGGCCUUUCAGGUCCGAUGUGAAAUCCCCCAGCUCAACUGGGGAACGGCAUUGGAAACCGAUUGGCUUGAGUGAGCUAGAGAUGUACGGAACUUCCGGUGGAGCGGUGAAAUGUGUUGAGAUCGGAAGGAACACCAGAGGCGAAAGCGGUACAUUGGGGCUUGUCUGACGCUGAGGCACGAAAGCCAGGGGAGCGAACGGGAUUAGAUACCCCAGUAGUC